rnacentral:tRNA from 1 species
GCGAAAGUAGUUUAACGGGUUUAAAUAUAACUUUGCCAAAGUUAAGAUUAAGGGUUCAAAUCCCUUUUUUCGCU